UCGAAGGGAACGCUCGUCACGUGCGCAGCGCUCCGAUUGGCCGGCGGGGGAGCGGGGGGCGAGGCGCUGGAGCGGCAGGGAGGGUAGCGGUUAGAGACGGUUACGGGGGAUCCCCCACCCGCCGCCCAUCCCCCACAGGGGGGAAGGAAGGUCCAGCGCGGUUUGCAAAGGUGCUCGAUUUCUAGUGGCACGCACGUGGAGUCCUCGCAAGCUACUCCGCCGUCCCCCGGUAUUAGCAGGGAGGCACAUGCCCGGGCUCCGGUGGAUUUUGGCUCAGACCCUUUGUAACUGCUCUACUCGUUCAUCUUGAUGUGAUUUAAAAAAAUUACAAUGGACAUUAUCAUCGCUUUAGGCUUGCUUCUCAUUGAAAUUAUCCACUUUUAAUUAAAUACCUGAAUAGGGCUUUAUGUGUUGAAAUACAAGUAUUAAAAUAGAAAUUGGAAUUACAAGAUUUCUCUUGUUUUUGUUGAGAGAUAAUCUGGCCCUUUAUCUUUUCAUUGAGGACAGCUCGAAUUCUAGAGAUUAACAUCUAAUCUACAUACACAUUUUCAAACUCUGCUUUUAGAUAUUCCAUGCAAGUCACAAAUACUCUGAAGCAGCUACUGGAAUCUCUAAUAUGUUUAGUGCUGCAUUUAAACCUUUUUGCCAAAGAUUUGUUGCAAUUCACUACAUCUUGUAUAAGAAAAACAGCAAUGUACCUCACUGGGUCCAGCUCAUCUCUCACCUCUCCAGAUUUAUUUUUCGUAAGUGUUGGCUCUUUGGGUGGGUUUGCUAAGCUGCCUAUUAAAGGAGUGGGUUUUUUUUUUUUUUCAUUCAUGGACUUGUGCCAUUGCCGCUUCUGUCCUGACAUGAGUGUGGCUGUGUGAUGAGCCAUCACAAAAACCAAACUAGCUGCUUGGUUUCAUCUGGAAUAGUUCCUUGAUCUGGUUCCUUGCGCCUUGUGUAUGCAGACAACUGCUCUGGCACAAUAGCAGGCCUAGUGCGGUAAUGGGAACAAACAACUAGGAAAACAGCUGGAUCUGUUUGCAUAAACCAGUUUAUGCAGUGGCACUGGCUGUGCUGCCAGUGAAGCAUUUGUGACACUCACCUGAGCUUGUAAAUCUAGCAAGGCCCUGCUGACUUUUUUUCGUACGUACUCAGUUGUUUCUCAGCCAAGCAGACACAAACUGGUCUUGCAUAAUUAUUUUCUCGUCCACAGUUCUCCAAAAGGGCCUGCAUCACAGGUGGAGAACCUCCGUGCUGGAAUUACCCUGCUGGUUCUUUAAGAUGUACACCCACACAUGUAUAAGUUUGUCUUAUUGUGCAGGUAUUUAUUAUGAGUAUUUUUAAUUUGUUGGUUUCCCUAGUUAAAGUGCAGCCAAUAGAACAGAGCCCACAUAGCAACUUUUAUAAUACUGGCACCAGACAGCAGUUAUUCUCUGUAGUUUUCACCUUAAGCAGAUGAUUUGAGAAAAUUUUGAACAUAAUUCUCAAAGAUUUUGUGGUUUGAAGGGACGUAAGACUUGAUCUGACUGUAUUUCAUGAUUUGAGUCUGAUUGACUUAAUGUUAUUAAAGUUGUAUGGAUGCCAUAAUUCCCUGUAAAUCAGAUUUUUCUUGAUUCUAAUGAAAUCUAGGCAAGGAAUUCAUGCCACAGAAUUAUUUGGGAUUUAAAUUGUCUCUUAAGUAGGUUAAUUUUGACAAAUAGACUCAUUCACAAUUAUUUGAAUACUUUCUUGUUCUUCAAGAAUAGCUUGCUUAUGAACAUUUUUUUCAAACAUUUCUAAUUUUAAAUGCUUUGGUUGAGCACUUAGAUUGAUAUGUUUUUCAUCUGUAUGUAUGUGGUUGCAGCUGUUAUUACCAGAUGCAUGUUUGUUGAGUAUAAGGUUUGUUUUCCAUUCAGAGUAUCCAAUAGCUGCUCAGAUUAACUUUUGAUCAUACUUGCCAACAAGCUUAAUCACUGGAAUUUUUUAAAAACUGAACCCUGCAAAACAUGAAUGUGAAGGAAGCUAUUUUAAAAAUAAGGAUGAUUAUACACGGACUUUGUGAGAAAAUUUACGUGUAAAAACUAAAACACUUGAAUGGGUUGUAAGUAUGAGAAGUUACUAUUUUUUGUGAUAGAAAUAUUGUACUGUAGUACAAGUUGUGUACUCUGAAUAGUUCUGGGGUUUUUUAAAUGCUAACAUUGCAUUUUCAAUAUAAAAAUAUUUGGAAUAAAGUCAUAUCCUGGAGCUAGGG